rnacentral:tRNA from 1 species
UCCCUUGUGGCUCAGUUGGUAAAGAAUCCACCUGCAAUGUGGGAGACCUGGGUUUGACUCCUAGGUUGGGAA